GGGACCGCCUACGAGCUUUGCCGUAGGCGGUGCAAGAGGACGGGGCGCGGCGGGGGACACGGCGGCCGCCGCGGGGCUCGAUCGGGCAACGGCGACGACGGCGGCGGCGGCGGCGACGGGUCUUCCUCCUCCCUCACCCCCUUGCUCCUUUUUUUCCUCCUCCUCCUUUCCUUUCCGGCCGGCUCUCGUCCACUUCCCCUAACGGCGGCCCCGAUCCUACGUAAAGGCAUGACUUCCCGGCACCGCAGGGAAAAUAGGGUGCAAGCCCAGAAACUAUUUCCCCAUCACCACUUGUUGAAAAACUGAUUUGAAAGCAUCUGCGGGUUUGAACAAACGAAAGUGCCAGGAUUUCAAGCGUCUUUGGUUUUGCGCUGGAGACCCUUCACAACUAAGUAUCAAGACGAAAAAAACUGGAAACUGAUCGGGUAAACACUUAAACUUGAAAACUUCUGAGUUUAUUUCGACCUAGUAAAUAAUUUGCUGCUACGUUUUUGUUGGCUAAUUCCUGCUUUUAACUUUUUAACUUCCUCGUUUAAGGUAUCUUUACCUUCUGUUGAAAAACACUUUUGUUAUUCGGGUCUCUGUAAAGUCGAGCAUCCUCUACUGGGUGGAUAUUUGCCUCUGCAGUAAGAGAAACAGAUUUUUGAAAGUUAGUAGACAUUGGAAUGUAUAGGCCUUUCACAUUAGCACAAAUGAUUGAGCAUUUUACGAUUCAGAGAAUAAUGAACAUGUUUAUUGUUUUAAAGUUUGAAAUCCAAAUGUUUGAAUACAGAAGACUUUCACAUCGAAAGAUUUAGGUAUUCCUGGGCAUGGAUAUUUAAUGUUUUUCAUAACUAGCUUAGAACAAAAUUAAUCAUAAUUUCGACUGAUUUGCUAUGGGAGUAAAAAAUAUGUACCAUUGACUUAAAGUACAAACGUGUAGUGGUAAUUCAUAUUAAUUAUUUUUGGGGCAGAAAUCACAUCUGUCUUAUCUGCCAUUGAAAACCUAUAGCCUAAUACAAUAUUUGGCACAUGAGAGUCAAGCAUUGAAUAAUUUGUUAAUGGAAAAAAAUUGAAUUAAAUGUAUUAAAACCUAAACUUUAUCAUACUUUGCAGAAUUUCUGUGAAACGUUAAGCCUGUCUCUGAGUUUAUGUCCACAGGUGUCUAACACAUUGGCAAUUUAGUGUUCUUUUGAAAGACAUUUCCUGUAACCCAAUUAUGAGUUCUCUAGUAUGGGUUAAGAGAAUACACCAUUAUUACUGAUUACCCUUUUAUUUUUUUUUUUAAGAUUCUAUUUAUUUAUUUGACAGAGAUAGAGACAGCCAG
rnacentral:lncRNA from 1 species